AACGCCCGUGGUCUAGUCUCCACAAAGACGUGUGUGUAUUUUUAUGCCCCAAAAGCCUGGAGCCAAAACCCCCCGCGACGGUCGCUCUCUUCCUCCGAGGAGUUCCCCCCCCCUCUCUCUCUCUCACAGUGGCAGUAAUGGGGAGAACGAAGCAACUCCCGAGCAGGUCCCGCAAACGCACGAAGCAGCAUCAGCAGCCGAUGGCGGGAGGGAGUUCACCGGCGACAUCUUCUCGCUCCGCUCGUGGGAAGAGGACGAGCGAAUCAGACGCGCCUCAAGGGACUCCAAGCCAAUCACGGCGGCGUUACAGGCACAGACCAGGGGUUAUGGCACUCCGUGAGAUCCGGAGGCUUCAGAAGUCAUGGAAGCUGCUUAUUCCUAUGGCUCCCUUUGUCAGACUUGUAAGGGAGAUUACUAAUUUCUAUUCAAAAGAUGUAUCUCGUUGGACCCCUGAAGCUCUGAUCGCAAUUCAGGAGAUUUGUCCAAUUGCUUCAGGCAACAGAAACUUAUAUACAAGGGUUGUUUGAGGAUGCUUAUCUGUGUACUAUUCAUGCUAAACGUGUUACACUCCUGAUUUUAGACUAUCACAAUAGAGAAGAACAUCUUCAAAACAGCUAAAAUAGAUAAGUUCAGGAAAGUGUUUUUUCAACUUAUGGCAAUUCAAAUUAACAGUUGUUUGAUUCAGUAGACAUGGGUAUAUAUUUGCAUGGGCAUGCAUACAAUAGGCUCAAACAUGUAUGUUUGUUUGUGUAGGCUCUGCUUGAAUGUAAAAUAACCGGAUCCACCCCCACACCCAUUUGAGUGUGCCUGAUCCUGUACAUAGACACCCAAGAGUAUCCCUGAUGAUAAAUAUGUUUACAUAAGAGCAAAAGGAUUUACAGCUAGCAAGGCGGAUCUGUGGCAGAAGACACUGGUGAGACGAGAAAAACAAGUUCUUCACUUUUUUGGC